rnacentral:rRNA from 1 species
CCUACGGGAGGCAGCAGUGAGGAAUAUUGGUCAAUGGACGCAAGUCUGAACCAGCCAUGCCGCGUGCAGGAAGACGGCUCUAUGAGUUGUAAACUGCUUUUGUACGAGGGUAAAGGCAGAUACGCGUAUCUGUCUGAAAGUAUCGUACGAAGAAGGAUCGGCUAACGCCGUGCCAGCAGCAGCGGUAAUACGGAGGAUUCAAGCGUUCUCCGGAUUUAGUGGGUUUAAAGGGUGCGUAGGCGGUCGGAUAAGUUAGAGGUGAAAUCCCGCGGCUCAACGUCGGAAUUGCCUCUGAUACUGUUCGUCUAGAGCGUAGUUGCGGUAGGCGGAAUGUAUGGUGUAGCGGUGACAUGCUU